UACGUAGGGUGCAAGCGUUUGUCCGGAAUUAUUGGGCGUAAAGAGCUCGUAGGCGGUUUGUCGCGUCUGCUGUGAAAACCCGAGGCUCAACCUCGGGCCUGCAGUGGGUACGGGCAAACUAGAGUGCGGUAGGGGAGAAUGGAAUUCCUGGUGUAGCGGUGGAAUGCGCAGAUAUCAGGAGGAACACCGAUGGCGAAGGCAGUUCUCUGGGCCGUAACUGACGCUGAGGAGCGAAAGCAUGGGGAGCGAACAGG
rnacentral:rRNA from 1 species